AAUCAACGCUGGCGGCGUGCCUAACACAUGCAAGUCGAACGAGAAAGUGGGAGCAAUCCCAUGAGUACAGUGGCGAACGGGUGAGUAACACGUGACUAACCUACCUUCCAGUGGGGGAUAACCUCGGGAAACCGGGGCUAAGACCGCAUAACCUCGUGAGGUGAGAAUCCUUGCGAGCAAAGGGGUAAGACGCUGGAUGAGGGGGUCGCGGCCGAUUAGCUAGUUGGCGGGGUAACGGCCCACCAAGGCGAUGAUCGGUAGCCGGCCUGAGAGGGCGCACGGCCACACUGGAACUGAAACACGGUCCAGACUCCUACGGGAGGCAGCAGUGGGGAAUUUUGCACAAUGGGGGAAACCCUGAUGCAGCAACGCCGCGUGGAGGAUGAAGUCCCUUGGGACGUAAACUCCUUUCGACCGGGACGAUAAUGACGGUACCGGUGGAAGAAGCCCCGGCUAACUCCGUGCCAGCCGCCGCCGUAAAAC
rnacentral:rRNA from 1 species